AAAAAAAUAAUGAAUGGAAGACAAAGAAAAAUUUAGUAAAAAAAAAAAACAUACACAAAAAGACAAAAAGGUCACUUACUGUAGAAUAAUAAAUUCUAAGCUGCCAGUUCAUAAUAUGUGUGUGUGUGAGUGCAUGUGUGUGUGUAUGUGUGUGUGUGUGUGUGU